rnacentral:rRNA from 1 species
GGGUUGUGAGGUUAAGCGACUAAGCGUACACGGUGGAUGCCCUGGCAGUCAGAGGCGAUGAAGGACGUGCUAAUCUGCGAUAAGCGUCGGUAAGGUGAUAUGAACCGUUAUAACCGGCGAUUUCCGAAUGGGGAAACCCAGUGUGAUUCGUCACACUAUCAUUAACUGAAUCCAUAGGUUAAUGAGGCGAACCGGGGGAACUGAAACAUCUAAGUACCCCGAGGAAAAGAAAUCAACCGAGAUUCCCCCAGUAGCGGCGAGCGAACGGGGAGCAGCCCAGAGCCUGAAUCAGUGUGUGUGUUAGUGGAAGCGUCUGGAAAGGCGCGCGAUACAGGGUGACAGCCCCGUACACAAAAAUGCACAUGCUGUGAGCUCGAUGAGUAGGGCGGGACACGUGGUAUCCUGUCUGAAUAUGGGGGGACCAUCCUCCAAGGCUAAAUACUCCUGACUGACCGAUAGUGAACCAGUACCGUGAGGGAAAGGCGAAAAGAACCCCGGCGAGGGGAGUGAAAAAGAACCUGAAACCGUGUACGUACAAGCAGUGGGAGCACGCUUCGGCGUGUGACUGCGUACCUUUUGUAUAAUGGGUCAGCGACUUAUAUUCUGUAGCAAGGUUAACCGAAUAGGGGAGCCGAAGGGAAACCGAGUCUUAACUGGGCGUUAAGUUGCAGGGUAUAGACCCGAAACCCGGUGAUCUAGCCAUGGGCAGGUUGAAGGUUGGGUAACACUAACUGGAGGACCGAACCGACUAAUGUUGAAAAAUUAGCGGAUGACUUGUGGCUGGGGGUGAAAGGCCAAUCAAACCGGGAGAUAGCUGGUUCUCCCCGAAAGCUAUUUAGGUAGCGCCUCGUGAAUUCAUCUCCGGGGGUAGAGCACUGUUUCGGCAAGGGGGUCAUCCCGACUUACCAACCCGAUGCAAACUGCGAAUACCGGAGAAUGUUAUCACGGGAGACACACGGCGGGUGCUAACGUCCGUCGUGAAGAGGGAAACAACCCAGACCGCCAGCUAAGGUCCCAAAGUCAUGGUUAAGUGGGAAACGAUGUGGGAAGGCCCAGACAGCCAGGAUGUUGGCUUAGAAGCAGCCAUCAUUUAAAGAAAGCGUAAUAGCUCACUGGUCGAGUCGGCCUGCGCGGAAGAUGUAACGGGGCUAAACCAUGCACCGAAGCUGCGGCAGCGACACUAUGUGUUGUUGGGUAGGGGAGCGUUCUGUAAGCCUGUGAAGGUGUACUGUGAGGUAUGCUGGAGGUAUCAGAAGUGCGAAUGCUGACAUAAGUAACGAUAAAGCGGGUGAAAAGCCCGCUCGCCGGAAGACCAAGGGUUCCUGUCCAACGUUAAUCGGGGCAGGGUGAGUCGACCCCUAAGGCGAGGCCGAAAGGCGUAGUCGAUGGGAAACAGGUUAAUAUUCCUGUACUUGGUGUUACUGCGAAGGGGGGACGGAGAAGGCUAUGUUGGCCGGGCGACGGUUGUCCCGGUUUAAGCGUGUAGGCUGGUUUUCCAGGCAAAUCCGGAAAAUCAAGGCUGAGGCGUGAUGACGAGGCACUAUGGUGCUGAAGCAACAAAUGCCCUGCUUCCAGGAAAAGCCUCUAAGCAUCAGGUAACACCAAAUCGUACCCCAAACCGACACAGGUGGUCAGGUAGAGAAUACCAAGGCGCUUGAGAGAACUCGGGUGAAGGAACUAGGCAAAAUGGUGCCGUAACUUCGGGAGAAGGCACGCUGAUAUGUAGGUGAAGUCCCUCGCGGAUGGAGCUGAAAUCAGUCGAAGAUACCAGCUGGCUGCAACUGUUUAUUAAAAACACAGCACUGUGCAAACACGAAAGUGGACGUAUACGGUGUGACGCCUGCCCGGUGCCGGAAGGUUAAUUGAUGGGGUUAGCGGUAACGCGAAGCUCUUGAUCGAAGCCCCGGUAAACGGCGGCCGUAACUAUAACGGUCCUAAGGUAGCGAAAUUCCUUGUCGGGUAAGUUCCGACCUGCACGAAUGGCGUAAUGAUGGCCAGGCUGUCUCCACCCGAGACUCAGUGAAAUUGAACUCGCUGUGAAGAUGCAGUGUACCCGCGGCAAGACGGAAAGACCCCGUGAACCUUUACUAUAGCUUGACACUGAACAUUGAGCCUUGAUGUGUAGGAUAGGUGGGAGGCUUUGAAGUGUGGACGCCAGUCUGCAUGGAGCCGACCUUGAAAUACCACCCUUUAAUGUUUGAUGUUCUAACGUUGACCCGUAAUCCGGGUUGCGGACAGUGUCUGGUGGGUAGUUUGACUGGGGCGGUCUCCUCCUAAAGAGUAACGGAGGAGCACGAAGGUUGGCUAAUCCUGGUCGGACAUCAGGAGGUUAGUGCAAUGGCAUAAGCCAGCUUGACUGCGAGCGUGACGGCGCGAGCAGGUGCGAAAGCAGGUCAUAGUGAUCCGGUGGUUCUGAAUGGAAGGGCCAUCGCUCAACGGAUAAAAGGUACUCCGGGGAUAACAGGCUGAUACCGCCCAAGAGUUCAUAUCGACGGCGGUGUUUGGCACCUCGAUGUCGGCUCAUCACAUCCUGGGGCUGAAGUAGGUCCCAAGGGUAUGGCUGUUCGCCAUUUAAAGUGGUACGCGAGCUGGGUUUAGAACGUCGUGAGACAGUUCGGUCCCUAUCUGCCGUGGGCGCUGGAGAACUGAGGGGGGCUGCUCCUAGUACGAGAGGACCGGAGUGGACGCAUCACUGGUGUUCGGGUUGUCAUGCCAAUGGCACUGCCCGGUAGCUAAAUGCGGAAGAGAUAAGUGCUGAAAGCAUCUAAGCACGAAACUUGCCCCGAGAUGAGUUCUCCCUGACUCCUUGAGAGUCCUGAAGGAACGUUGAAGACGACGACGUUGAUAGGCCGGGUGUGUAAGCGCAGCGAUGCGUUGAGCUAACCGGUACUAAUGAACCGUGAGGCUUAACCUUACAACGCCGAAG